UACGAAGGGGGCUAGCGUUGUUCGGAGUUACUGGGCGUAAAGAGCUCGUAGGCGGUUUGUCGCGUCUGCCGUGAAAGUCCGGGGCUCAACUCCGGAUCUGCGGUGGGUACGGGCAGACUAGAGUGAUGUAGGGGAGACUGGAAUUCCUGGUGUAGCGGUGAAAUGCGCAGAUAUCAGGAGGAACACCGGUGGCGAAGGCGGUUCUCUGGGCAGUAACUGACGCUGGAGGAGCGAAAGCGUGGGGAGCGAACAGG
rnacentral:rRNA from 1 species